GGGACAGAGACCUUGGACAAGUUCAAAGAUGGCUAACCGUGAUUUAUUUUAAGAGGUCAAAAGGUCACAUUCUCUUUCCUAUUUUUAUACUUAUAAGGCCGAGGGUAUUUUACCAUUGUGGUAUAUUUUGUAUAUUGAAA